rnacentral:rRNA from 1 species
AUCAACUUUCGAUGGUAGGAUAGAGGCCUACCAUGGUGGUAACGGGUAACGGGGUGUUAGGGCACGACACCGGAGAGGGAGCCUGAGAAACGGCUACCACAUCCAAGGAUGGCAGCAGGCGCGCAAGUUACCCAAUCCCGACACGGGGAGGUAGUGACAAUAAAUAACAAUACGGGGUUCUUUCGGAUCUCGUAAUUGGAAUGAGUACAAUUUAAAUCUCUUAACGAGAAACAAUUGGAGGGCAAGUCUGGUGCCAGCAGCCGCGGUAAUUCCAGCUCCAAUAGCGUAUAUUAAAGUUGUUGCAGUUAAAAAGCUCGUAGUUGAAUUUCGGGGUUAGUAGGCUGGUCAUGCCACCGGUAUGUACUGGUCUUACUGAUUCCUCCUUCCUGAUGAACUGUAAUGCCAUUAAUUUGGUGUUGCAGGGAAUCUGGACUGUUACUUUGAAAAAAUUAGAGUGUUUAAAGCAGGCUAACGCUUGAAUACAUUAGCAUGGAAUAAUGAAAUAGGACGUUCGAUCCUAUUUUGUUGGUUUCUAGGAUUGACGUAAUGAUUAAUAGGGAUAGUUGGGGGCAUUAGUAUUCAAUUGUCAGAGGUGAAAUUCUUGGAUUUAUUGAAGACUAACUACUGCGAAAGCAUUUGCCAAGGAUGUUUUCAUUAAUCAAGAACGAAAGUUAGGGGAUCGAAGACGAUCAGAUACCGUCGUAGUCUUAACCAUAAACUAUGCCGACUAGGGAUCGGAUGAUGUUAAUUU